CUGAAACCCUUAACAAUAUCACGACUCAGGAUGUGACCCAGAUGCAGACACAGGAGGCAGAUAGUUAGAUUCUCUGAAUAUUUAUUAACACCAAGGGGCAGAUCGAGGGCAGGCAGAGGUUCGUAAUCCAAGGCAGAGUCAUUAAGGGUCAGAACGGCAGGCAGGCUCAGGACAAGCAGAAGACAAGAAAACGAGAAUUGGAGAAACGGGAAACACGCUGAACCUGAGCCCUAGGACCAUACGUCAGGACUACCGGGCAUGCUGACACCUUGCUGUCCCCAGUCCGCCCGGCCUUGCUGCUAUUCGAGUUUCAACUGUUUCUGCCUGCGGUUACGAAACCCCUACCUGUCCCAGACCUGCUGUUUUCAACUCUUAAUGAUCGGCUAUGAAAAGCCAACAGAUUUAUUCCUGAUUAUUAUUUGACCAUGCUUGUCAUUUAUGAACAUUUUGAAAAUCUUGGCUCUCUCUAAUUUUCUCCUUCUCUCUUUCUCUCGGAGGACCUGAGCCCUAGGACCAUACGUCGGGACUACCGGCCGUGGUGACUCCUUGCUGUCCCCAGUCCGCCUGGCCUUGCUGCUAUUCCAGUUUCAACUCUUCUGCCUGCGGUUAUGGAACCCCUACCUGUCCCAGACCUGCUGUUUUCAACUCUUAAUGAUCGGCUAUGAAAAGCCAACUGAGAUUUAUUCCUGAUUUAUUAUUUGACCAUGCUUGUCAUUUAUGAACAUUUUGAAAAUCUUGUCUCUCUCUAAUUUUCUCCUUCUCUCUUUCUUUCUCUCGGAGGACCUGGGCCCUAGGACCAUGCGUCGGGACUGCCGCCCGUGGUGACUCCUUGCUGUCCCCAGUCCGCCUGGCCUUGCUGCUAUUCCAGUUUCAGCUGUUCUGCCUGCGGUUAUGGAACCGCCACCUGUCCCAGACCUGUUGUUUUUCAACUCUUAAUGAUCAGCUAUGAAAAGCCAACUGAAAAUUAUUCAUGAUUAUUAUUUGACCAUGCUUGUCACUUAUGAACAUUUUUGAACAUCUUGGCAUUGUUCUGUUAUAAUCUCCACCCGGCACAGCCAGAAGAGGACUGGCCACCCCUCAUAGCCUGGUUCCUCUCUAGGUUUCUUCCUAGGUUAAGGCCUUUCUAGGGAGUUUUUCCUAGCCACCGUGCUUCUACACCUGCAUUCUAGCUGUUUGGGGUUUUAGGCUGGGUUUCUGUACAGCACUUCGAGAUAUUAUCUGGUGUACGAAGGGCUAUAUAAAAUAAAAUUGAAAUUGAAAUUGAAAUGAGAAGGACUUGUAAACUAUAUUAUCAUUGUAUUAGAGGAGGUACAUUUAUGAUGAAAUGUGUGGUAUAUAGACCAAUGUACCGGAAAUGAUAAGCAGAGCUCUCGAGAAUAAACGCUAACGGCUAAGCAGA